GUGGCGGCCGGCGGCCCACGGCUGGGUCCCCGGGGAGCGGGGCGGCGGCGGGGCGCCUGGCUGUGCUUCCCCGCCGUGCCCGGAGCAGAGGGCGGCCGGCGGCGAUCCGCUGCAGCCGGAGGGAGCGGCGACUUGCCGGCUUCACAGCAGGCGGGGCGGCUUCCAGGGGCGCCGGGGGCGGGGGGGAGCGCUGUUCUGUCAGGCUGAGGGGAGCGGCGGUGGCACCGGCCCCGCGGCGGGGCCCGGGCGGCCGCUGAGGCCCAGGGCCCGGGCCGUGAUCCGCCCGGAGUCUGGAAGGAGCCGGCGGGUGGCUGGACGGGCCUGGCCCGGCGCUGCCGCCGUCACCCGCCGUGGCGGUGGAGCCGCCGCCGCCGCCGCCUCCUGAAGGCUUGAGCCGGCGGCUGGGGGUGCACUGAGGUGAGGAGUUCAAGGGCAGAGGACAGGCGGCUGCCCGGGGGCGCGGGGGGUGAGGGGCGGCCGCGGUUAGAGCCGCCAGGGUGCCCUGCCCCCAGGCCUGGGGCACUGAGCCGGCAGGCUCUGCUCGCACAGGUAGGCUCGUUCCCACCACCAACACGACAGCUUAGGCGAACGGAGCCUCCAAGGAUAGGAUCGCCACCAUUUUCCGUGGAAAACUUAUUUCACAGCCUGAUCCAAUAACCACCUUUUAGAGGGGAGAAGAACAGUAUGUGUUGCAGUACAUCAGAUUCCUAACCACUUUUCAGAAUAGUCACGAACUAUAAUCCAACCCCUUCCCCCUGAUGUGCGGUAAGAAUCGCUCCCCUUUCACCACAACUUGUUGCCCUUUAUUGAACUUACCACAGUGCCUGCACACAAGCCCUGAAACCAAAAGCUUUAUAAAAGAAAUGCAGCCAAGUAAUACGAGCAUCGAGCUAGCUGUAGGUGACAAAGUCUCAACCUUUCAAUUUUCACACUGACUUCUUUGGCACCGCUCAGCAACUUGCUGCAGUGCUUUCUGCUUCUUUAACAACAAAAAAAAGAAUAGUAAAAUAAAAUUACUGAUCACAUGGCUCAGGCUGUUAGGCUCAAGCAAGCUUUAUCAAAGUAUUUUUAUAGUUUAAAGAUGGAAAGCACAAUAAUCUUUUAGUACAGAAAAAUAAAUGUUAAAACUGUUAUUCUGCUUUACCUGCAUACUCCUACAUCCUUCUUUUCAAGAUCAAAGUCUGAAAAAGUAUGGUAGAGCAUGUACUUAAAAAAUAGGCAACAAUGGCAUUAGGCUAUAUAAUAAGAAAAUGGGCUGUUCAGAUCUCAGAGCAAAAAUUUUCUUCCUGUGAACAGUGACAUAUUUUCAUUUUAAUGAGGUACUGCAAAUAAAGUGUGUUUUGGAGUAGGAACUAUGGUCUUUUUCUUAUCAGUCAUUCUCUGUCUAGAGGUUUUAAUCUGUAUUAGCAACCAUAUAUCAUAUCUUGUUCAAGAAUCUGCAGGGUCUUUCAAAAGUAUAGUUCUUCUGCUCCAUGAGUUUAGUUUUGUUAUGUUUUCUUACGUUUCAUAUCUUUUGUUUCUUCAUUUAUCUGUUCAAAGGUUAUGAAGCAAUGUAGCCAUUUCAUACCCUUGUAGGCUAAAGGUGUAUUUUAAUUAAAAACCUACAAAGUUUUUUAAAAUAGUAUUUGGAAAUCAUUUCCUUUCAUCCUUCAAAAGUAGGAAUAGAAGGAAACUGCAGGGGACUGUCCCUUACCAAACACAUUGCGGGAAUGAACCAGGAGAUAGGCUUGCUAAGAGUCAGUAACACAAUCAUAUAUAUGACGGCAAAUAACGUACUUCCAUUCCUGUCCCAUACUACUGGUAGGCCGUGUAACUAGGAGAUGGUGUCCAAAUUCCGUGGUCUGAAAAUAAAAAAUAAUAUAUUGAUCUUCUUCAAAUUUUUGUACACAUUGCAAAAAUAUCAUCCCCAUUUGGGGAAAACCAACAGAACAAUCUGUGGCCCAAAAAAGGGCCCAGACUGCAGCCGUUAUAGUGAAUGUCAUAACUCAGGAUUGCAAUGCAUUGGCAGGACUGUCUAGGGAAGCUUGCAUAACAUCUGUUUGCAACAUGCCUGAUUCAAACCAGCACUCCUCCUCUCAUGAACGCUGAUGACUUUUAAAAAGUAAAAUAAACUUGGUCAUUAUACAAGCAGAUUGAUUUUCCUGGGUGCCUAUCCAGAUCUGCUUGAAGCAAUAGAAAACCCACAACUUAAAAGCUAUUUAUUUCAUUUUUGCUAAAUAUUUUUACCAUAGUUGUGUCCUUUUGUGUUUUUUGGUGUUUUUUUUUUUAGUGUUCUCAUUUCUGUGAGCCAUACUCCAGUGAGUACUCUUUAUGAUGCCAGAGGGACUACUCUUGUAGAGGGAUUGAUGUAGUUAAAACUCCCUGCUCACUGCUUUGAACAUUUUUAGUGCUUCAUUCUCAUUAUGUUAGCAUAGUAGGGAGCAUGUGAAGACAUGCUUCAUUUUGGAUGUUUACUCCCUAGACUGUUUUUCACAGAUGGUUUUAUUUUCAGGUUUCUUAGUUGUCUUCUUCCUGUCACAAGGUGUGGCUAGUUAUUUUCGCUGAAACAGCUUACAGCUUUGUAGCUUCUAUGUAAGCUGCAUCGCCAUUUGUAGUACUGGCAAUAUAAAUAAAUAAAUCAUAAAUUACAA